rnacentral:misc_RNA from 1 species
UUUCCGUAGGUGAACCUGCGGAAGGAUCAUUACCGUAUAACCGAGGUGCGAGGCCUUUCGCUGACCCGAUAUGUCGUGCACGCCCUAGUUCCUUCACACACAUCCAUCUCACCCCUAAGUGCACCACUUCGUGAGUCCCCCCUGGGCUUGUGCGGAGGGGGGCUAACACUUUCACCAACACUUUUUAUGCAUUUGAGAAUGUAUUUUUUGUUUUUGCGAUCGCACAAUCAACACAACUUUCAACAACGGAUCUCUUGGCCCUCACAUCGAUUAAGAACC